rnacentral:rRNA from 1 species
CGAAAGCCUGACGGAGCAAUGCCGCGUGGAGGAAGAAGGCCUAUGGGUUGUAAUCUCCUUUUCUCAGAGAAGAAGUUCUGACGGUAUCUGAGGAAUAAGCAUCGGCUAACUCCGUGCCAGCAGCCGCGGUAAUACGGGGGAUGCAAGCGUUAUCCGGAAUCAUUGGGCGUAAAGCAUCUGUAGGUGGCUUGGUAAGUUGAUUGUUAAAUAGUAGGGCUCAACCCUAUCCCGGCAAUCAAAACUACUUGGCUUGAGUGUGGUAGGGGCAGAGGGAAUUCCCGGUGUAGCGGUGAAAUGCGUAGAUAUCGGGAAGAACACCAACGGCGAAAGCACUCUGCUGGGCCAACACUGACACUGAGAGAUGAAAGCUAGGGUAGUC